rnacentral:rRNA from 1 species
GGGCCAGUCAGUGGUUGUACUGGUGUAAGAGUGUAGGCCGUGACAUAGGCAAAUCCGUGUCACAUUAAGGCUGAGACUUGAUGCAUACCCGUUGUGGGGAAUUCAGUGAUCCUAUGCUGCCGAGAAAAGCCUCUAGUGAGUUCAUACACGGCCCGUACCCCAAACCGACACAGGUGAUCAGGUAGAGAAUACCAAGGCGAUCGAGAGAACUGUGGUUAAGGAACUCGGCAAAAUGCCCCCGUAACUUCGGGAGAAGGGGGACCAUGCCCGGUGAACAUCUUCACGGUGGGAGCUGGGUGUGGUCGCAGAGACCAGAGAGAAGCGACUGUUUACUAAAAACACAGGUCCGUGCGAAGACGUAAGUCGAUGUAUACGGACUGACGCCUGCCCGGUGCUGGAAGGUUAAGAGGACCGGUUAGCCGUAAGGCGAAGCUGAGAAUUUAAGCCCCAGUAAACGGCGGUGGUAACUAUAACCAUCCUAAGGUAGCGAAAUUCCUUGUCGGGUAAGUUCCGACCUGCACGAAUGGCGUAACGACUUCUCUGCUGUCUCGACCACAGACUCGGCGAAAUUGCACUACGAGUAAAGAUGCUCGUUACGCGCGGCAGGACGAAAAGACCCCGGGACCUUUACUAUAGCUUGGUAUUGGCGUUCGAUUCGGUUUGUGUAGGAUAGGUGGGAGACUGUGAAGCAUGCACGCCAGUGUGUGUGGAGUCGUUGUUGAAAUACCACUCUGAUCGUAUUGGACGUCUAACCUCGGCCCAUGAUCUGGGUUAGGGACAGUGCCUGGUGGGUAGUUUAACUGGGGCGGUUGCCUCCUAAAGAGUAACGGAGGCGCCCAAAGGUUCCCUCAGCCUGGAUGGCAAUCAGGUGUUGAGUGCAAGUGCACAAGGGAGCUUGACUGUGAGACUGACACGUCGAGCAGGGACGAAAGUCGGGACUAGUGAUCCGGCACCGGCAAGUGGAAGCGGUGUCGCUCAACGGAUAAAAGGUACCCCGGGGAUAACAGGCUGAUCUUCCCCAAGAGUCCAUAUCGACGGGAUGGUUUGGCACCUCGAUGUCGGCUCGUCGCAUCCUGGGGCUGGAGUAGGUCCCAAGGGUUGGGCUGUUCGCCCAUUAAAGCGGCACACGAGCUGGGUUUAGAACGUCGUGAGACAGUUCGGUCUCUAUCCGCCGCGCGCGUAAGAAACUUGAGGAAGACUGUCCCUAGUACGAGAGGACCGGGACGGACGAACCUCUGGUGUGCCAGUUGUUCCACCAGGAGCAUGGCUGGUUAGCUACGUUCGGAAGGGAUAACCGCUGAAAGCAUCUAAGCGGGAAGCCUGUUCCAAGAUGAGGUUUCUCACCACCUUGCGUGGUUAAGGCCCCCUACAGACCAUGGGGUUGAUAGGCCGGAACUGGAAGCGCAGCAAUGCGUGGAGGUGACCGGUACUAAUAGGCCGAGGGCC